CUGUUCCUAAACCUGUCAGUCUGUCAUCAGAUGACUCAGCUGUACCUGUGCCUUCUACUAAAGAUUGUGCCUUUCAGAGAAGAGAUUCCCUGCCAAAAGCCAAUAUCCACCUCCUCCACCCAGCCUCGGGAAUCAACACAGUCACUCCCUGUGAAAUUUAUUGAGGAAGCUGCCAGUUUCCAUGGUAACUGUCCUGCUUUUUAGCACAUACUUGUCUGGCAUGGGAAAAGAGAGCUACAGCUAGAGACUCUUCUGAUUAUGGGUAAUAUAAGGUUCCUUGUGGUCAUCUGGUCUUGCAAAAUAAAUGCCCAUUUGUGGAUAUAAUAUGCAUAUUAUUAUUAUGAUCCUUUAUGUAUCUAGCCAUGUGACAUCUAACAUUAAUAUCCUAAUUGUUAGUGAAAUUGUUGUUUCAUAUGAAAUGAUCUGUUCUGCAUAUAUCCGAUUUAAAUGUGCUGCAGAAAUAAUACAAAAUUAAAACAAGAGUUAAAUGUGAGAAACAACCCUUGCUUGUUUCGCUGACAAUUAGGUCAUUGUAUCACUGUGUUUCUGUAUCAGCGAUACAUUAGCUCCUUAUCCUCCAGCAAUAAACACAAUGCAUCUCUUC